GUGCUGGCUUCAGCAGCACCCGUGCGAAAACUGGACCAAUACAGAGAAGAGGAGCAUGGCCCUGUGCAAGGACGACAUGCAGAUUCAUGAAGCAUUCCAUAUUUAG